UUACAAGGCUGUUGGUUUCUGUUUAUAUAAUCUUUUUAUCUAUUAAUCUUGUUUGUCUAUUCCUUCUUUUUUUUUUGGUUAGGUUUGAAUAUAAUGCUUCUGCUGACCUUGUUAAGGAGGUUCAAUUUGAGGAAGUUGAAGGGGGUGUUAGAACAAGAAUUGUGAGGAAGUGAGUUAGUUGCUGCAUGUAUUUUCCUUGAGUGAGACCCUUGUGGUAAGUUGUACUCUUCAACAUGUAAAAAGGAAAGAUUCAUUGGUCUGUGUGUGAGAUUCUGCUCAGCCUGUAGGCCACACCCAAAUUUAUGUAGCUUAUUUUUCCUUUUACACACUAAUAUAUUGUUUUGUCAUUCUUAUUCGAAAAAAUGGUUUUGUAUAAAAUUUAUAACU